UGGCUCCUUACGAGUCUUUUAACUGUGGCGUUUCUUGAUUGUAACCGGGCUGAAGCAGCUCCCCAGGAUCCCAGGAAAGGAUGCAAAGCUGAAAAGAACAAAGAAUAUCCUCUCGUUCAUGAUCUUACACUCCAGUGACAGACGACACACCUGUGGGAUGACAGAAUUCUUUCUGCAGAUGAGAGAGGACAAUGAGCAAGUGGAAACACAGGAAGACGCAAACAAGGUCUGCAGAUAAUGAACAAGGAGGAGGGAUGCCUCUGGCAGUCCUAGAAAGGAGAUGAUGCACGCCGCCUCCCAACUUUGCACUCAGUGGCUUACAGGGUAGCUUGAACCCAGUGAUGAUGGGACUAUUUACGCCACUGAGAUUAGCAAAUGUUACAUACCCCAUUUUCCUUAUUGUAUUACUGGCUGUAUAUUAAAUUUAAAAGCAUGGCAUGUCACUGUGAAUAGCAAAAACAUUAAGUUGAUCUCUGCAAUUCUUUGGAAAUUCCCCAACUCAGGAAAUGUGUUGUUUCCAUCACUGGUGAGUGAGAGACUUUUCAUCAGGUAACUCUGAAGCUGAGGAUUGCAGCUGGUGACUAUUAACUUAUGAAUCACAAAUUCACAGGUGAUGAAUAUAAUAAGCACAAGAAAAAAGGCUUCCUAAAUACAUCGUGCCUCAAACUUGAUAAAGUUUGGCGGGGAGGGGAUUAAUGAAUUGGAAUGAAAUCCCACUUGCCAAAUCACGUUGAGUCGCAACCAUAGAUCACACCUUCCUAUAACUUCAGCAAAAGACAAAGCAUUCAAUAAUGGGCUCUGUGAAACUUUUAAAAAGUCCUGGAUAGGGUUGGACCAGUGGCUCAGAGGUUAAGAGCACUGGCUGCUCUUCCAGGGGACCCAGGUUCAGUUCCCAGCACCAUGUGGCAGCUCACAACUGUCUGUAACUUCAGAUCCAAGAGACCCAAUGCCCUCUACUGUACCUGGCAAUCACAAAGCUUACAAAUGGUGCGAAGACAGACACAUGGACAAAACACUCAUGCACAUAAAGUAAAAAAUAAAUAUUUUUUUUAAGAAG
ensembl:lincRNA Gm26612 predicted gene, 26612